GGAAGAAUGGUCUAGUGGUUGAGAUAUUAACCUUGGACUUGAAAGAACUGGGCUUAAGUCCCAGUUUUGCCA
rnacentral:tRNA from 1 species